CAUUAAUCUGUCAACGGCCCGCCCCCUCUUGACAGGUGGUCCAGGUGCUGCUCAUCAGCAAACGACUCCAGUUAUUUGCCAUGCGUUUUGCUUGUGAGACAAGUGUAGAAAAGAAAAUAGAUAAAAAUAAGGAAAAACUACAGUAGGCCUAGUUCAAUUACCGAUUUGGCUAACAUAGCUGAAUCUGCCAAGCAGCUACAAGAGCCAACGGACAGCAAAAACAGCCGUUAAUCUACGGACACUGAACAAUAGUGCGUUUUCUCCAUCAUGACUUUGCUGUAACCAUUUGAUGCUACUGCUACUGCCAAUGCUGCUCACGCUAUUGUUAGAAUUUCAUUAAUAUGGACUAAGCUACUACUUCAUGGAGGAAAUAAUGCUACGUGUUGGUCAUCAACGGCCCUUAACGCCACUUCAAGUCGGAUGUUUCCCAUCCACCUGUUGACAGCUUGAAGUCUUCCCCAAGGAUGUAUCUUCACUUCACCUAGCUGUCGGGCAUCUCAACUUCACUGCCAGAGCUACUGAACUGACAUGUGUGAAAAUGUUGAAAGCAGACCCACCAGGCCUUUAAGACAAAUAGCAUAAUUCAGGAGAAAGCUCCACAACUCCAGGCUGUUGGACCCCACCAAGCUUUCUUUCUGUAAUUUGGAUAAGGGUAGCCACACAGAAAGAGAGGCAGACGAAGAAAGAGAAGAAUGAAGAGUGAGGCUUUAUUCAGGUCAACAUAAAAGACUAAAUGGAAACAUGAUGCAAUGGGGUUUGAUGUAGACAUGCAAAGCAUGCUGAGAGGUCUUGAUGUAAUACUACUCUAGUAAUCCGAUCUAGCAUAACAUUUACAAACCUUUAAAUCUGCAAGUGAAGCACAAGUACAUUAAAUGUGUACUUUACUUUGUCCUUGAUGUUUGGCUUGUGUCCUUAAAAAUUUGUAUACAUUUUUCUGGAUGGGGUUGUGAAUCUUUGGUUCUGAAAAUGUCAAUGCUGUAAUUUGAUUGGUGUGUUAUGUGUGUUACAUCACUUCAUUGUUAGCUGUUGCUUAAUCCCAUCUGUUGUUUGAGCACUAACUACAUUACCCUGCAACUCUGCACAUAACUCUGUGUAGUGAUUCAAAUGAUGUGUAAGUAAAAGUACUAAAUACAACACUGUAAAAAUACUCUUGUUACAAGU